GGCGCCCACGUCCGCCACAGACCCCCGUCGCCCAACUCGCUCCCGCGUGCGCGGGGGCCCCAGCCUCGCACCUGGAAACGCCCGCUGGGGUCCGCCACCGUCCCUGGCACAGCCCUUAGGUACCGACCCGAGUACUGCCAGGGGUCAUCGCGGCAGCCUCCUGGCUCCCUCACUUCCUUCCAAGUCUUAGCUCAUCAGUACGCUGCGCUCACCCUAAGGUGAGGCCUCCGCUGGCCCCUCUAGAAACCUUCCAGGAAACAGUUCACUGUUGGUUUUAUUCCUGGCUGGGCCCCCAGGACUAGUACAAGAUGAGGAAGCAGAGGCUCUGCAGGACUGCAUAGCACAUCGAUCGAGUACCACGCAGACGGGUUUGUCCUUGGCCCAGCUUCCCUCCCAAAGGCUGAGUAAUCUAGAAAAAUUGCAGCCCGGCAUAAAGGAGCAGGCCCAGGGGCCAACCAGGAUCACGAAGUCAAGCGGAAUUCUUGGCCUGCUCACUCUUGUAAGUUUGUAACCAUUUAGACCCGAGGACAAGAAGCAACAGAUGCCUUUGGAGGAUCAGGCCCGCGUGGUUAGAGCCUCAGCAGGAGACUGGCCCCAGUCCGUGGAUCCUCAGACCCUCAUCUCAGAUUAAAGAAAAAACGCCUCCCUGCGAUUGGCACUUGCGCCUUCCUCCUUCCCUCUCAUCCCCAUCGCUUUUCUCCCCAGCUCUGCCUGGGUCUGAGCCCUGGCCUGGCUUCUGCCCCCCAGCUGCGAACUGGACCAGCUACUUAGCUUCAGCGUGCCUCAGUUUCCCCAUCUCCAAAUGGGGUGGCACUUGUUAAAUGACGUCAUGCAUGACCACCACUUCCCGUGGUGCCUGCCACAUACAGCUGCAUGCAUAUGAGCUUUUGCUGAGGAUGCCUGACCCUCUGCAGGCCAGAGAGCAGUUCUUGGCUGAAGCCCCUGCUUCCCAUAAAAAUACGAAGUGUCGGGAAGCAGACACUUCCUAUUAGUCAUGGACACCUUAGCGUUCAUCAGCUUAGGGCGCCUUCUCAAGAUCAUGCUGUGACUAGAGGGGAAGAAAGAUACCAGCCCCCGGACAGAGGUAGCGACAAGGCGGCAGGGGAAGCAGGUAUCCCAGAGAAGCUGUCCAGGAAGCUCCCUGUGGAUCACGGUUUCACCUGGAGCCGGCUCCGUCUUGGGUCUUGUCGCUUACCACGGAGGCCCCUAACUCAACUGGCCUUGCCCACAGCCUGACUCCUCCGUGACCUGCCAGACGGACCAUGUGCUUCUCUUCCUGCCAACGGUUAACAUGAAAUGCCUGGGACUUCAGGUUUGCGAACCUGGUUUGGGUCCAAGGCCAGCAGGUAACCCUGAGGGUGCCGUAUCCUACUCUGGAAUCUUCAGACUUCUCAUGUGCAGAAUUAGACAACACGAGUUAGUUGCUCGUAGGUCCGCUCGUUGGUUACACCCCUGCCCUCCCUGGUGGAAUGAUCACGGACAACGUCCCAGUGUAUUCCUGCGUGUCUGCAGAGAACCUGGACCCCAUUCUGAAUCCGGCAUCGGGGAUCAGUGUAGGGGAGGCAGGCAAGCCGUCAGGCUCUAGAACCGUGUUGUGCCCACCACGUCACCCACGUGGGCAUUUCAAUUUCAAUUAGCUAGGUUUACAUAAAAUUAAAAAUUCAGUUUCUUAGCUGCUUGAGCCACAGUUCAAGUCCGUCACAGGCACACGCCCUGGUGGCUGUGGUCAUGGGCAGCAGAGGUUACAGGACAUUUCCGGCAUCUCAGAAAGUUCUACAAGAGAUGCAGUCCUAGCUGCAUGACUUACUGGCUUCCUAGCACUUACUAGCUGCAUGACUUGGAGCAAGUUACUUACUGCUCUGGGGCUCUGUCUCCUUACCUACGAAAUGGGAAUUAAUCCACUCCACAGCAAAUGCUUAAUUGAGUGCCUGCCAGGUAUUCUGCGAGGGGCUGGGGAUACAGCACUAAACAACACAGAUAAAUAAAAUCAUGGCCCUCAUGGAACUGACCUUUUUUUUUGAGAGAGAGAGUGGGGAGGAGUGGAGGAAGAGAGAAUCUCAAGCAGGCUCCAUGCCCAGCAGCAGAGCCUGAUGCAGAUGCAGGGCUCAAUCUCAUGACCCCAAGAUCAUGACCAAGAAACCAAGAGUUGGACACACAACAGACUGAGCCUCCCAGCUGCCCCAUGGAACUGAUCUUCUAAAGGGGGGCAAAACCAGCAUUUAUCUCUUGAAGUUGGUUUGAGAAUCAAAUGAAAUAGAGCAGGAAAAGCACUUUACAUGAUUCCUGGAACAUUCUAAGUGCUUAAUAGGUGGUAGCUGCUAUUACUGCUAGUAAUCUGCUCAGCUCCCUUCUCCCACGGCCCUGCUAACUGGGAUGGGUAAACACAUAGCAUUCAGGCCUCCACUUCUUAUCCUAUACCCAGUGCAGACAUUGCUAAUCAAUCACAGCACACUUUCCACUGAACCCAGAAGUACCUAUGGGAUUCUCAGAAUAGAGCAUCAGGCAGCGCUCUCAGACACAUUCUCUCAGAACUCACAUCACCCUGUUCAAAAUCACCUCUGCAUUCUUCUACAAGCUGCCUGCCCCCCCCAACCCUGAUGCGGGGACCCCUUAGGUCCUGUGGAAGCUCACACUCCAGGCCCAGGCCUGCCCCCACUUAGGAGAAAGAGUAAGUGUCUGGUCAUUACCUUGUCAGCCAAGCAGCUGGUCCUGCUCUGACCUCCUGCCAGCAACAAGCUUCUUCCUUUUCUGCCUCCUGGAGCGGGGUCUGGCCUUAUUUGCACAGGGCUCCUGGGGUCUCGAAUCCUGUUCUUCUUUUUUGUUCGAGAAAAGUGGAUUGUUUCUAAGCCAGGCAAAUCAGUCCUGGACAAAAAGGUCUUGAGUGAAGCCCAGCCCGCAUCUGAAGUGGGAGAGACAGACACGUGAACAUGCAAUUGCAAUAUGGUUUUAGCAGGUUUGAGGCUCCUUUUCGUCCAAGCUGCAAUUCAUGAGUAGAAGAUGCUGCCCAGCUGCCACCCCCACCCCAAUCCUGCCCCUUGUGAGUAUCUGAGGCUCCUACCCUGGAUGCCUGGGGGCUUUCGGCCUCCUCCCCUUGAGGACAGCCUGCAGCCAAUGUCAAUGGCUGACCAGUGUCAGAGUAUAAAUAUAUGGCCCUCUUGCCUCAAGAUGGAGGGGACGAUUUUGUGGUUCUAGUCAAGCUCUCGAAUCCCAGAGCUCUUUCUGGGAUUAAGCUGAGAGCACCCUUUGCUGGGCUUUCUCCUGCCCUGUCCUGCUUCUUCUGUUCCUUACAAGUUUCUCCGGAGAGCUCUCCCUUCAUAAACCACUGUAGAGAGUUCAGGUCUCAAGAUCUGCUUGUUAGACACCUGACCUAAGAUGCUACAGAUGAACAAGUCUGUUGACACCUGUUGUUUUGUCCUCGUAAAGUGAUAGCCCUGCCCUUACCAAUCCUUUCCACCUUAGUCUGGCUUUCCCCAGACGCAGACCUUGAGGCUAGGAUUCAAGUUCAAGUAGUGAAUUUGGAAAGUGCAGAAACACUGAUCAGGAGGAGGAAGCAAGGCAGCAAAGGGAAGCCAGCCGCUUCCGAGGGUGGCGGGAGCUUUAUACACAGGGAACUCUCGGAAAUAGUGGAGACCACACACCUAAGGAGUGGGGCAGGCAGGGUACUUACACAACAU